rnacentral:lncRNA from 1 species
UAUACAACCAAAAUCAUUGAAAUUAUAGUUACAGUAAAUAGUUCAUGAAAAAUAAUGAAAUAAUGUGACUGCUAAUUAAAUAAAAUAAAAAAUAAAAAUAAAAUCAUAAAGGUAUAUUUCUAUUGCUAUCUUCUCUGGCCAUCUUACACACUGCGUCUUAUGGUCUUUUGUGAUGUUCUUAAUGUCUGCUCUAUGUUGAGCCCUUUCUGAUUUUUUAAUUAGAUAUCUCUGUGGUAUUGGUAAGUCUACUACUAGUCUAUCAUUAAUGAGCUUGUCUUUCUCUUGCUUCCUUAAUGUCUCAAUAAUCUCUUCUACUAUUGCAUGGGAUUUUAUAGUGACUGGUUUAAUUUUCUUAGCUUGCUCCCAUUCUAUUUUUUAUGUCAUUGUCAUAUGCUUCAACAAUUUAGAGCCGUAGUUAGUUUUCCAGUAGCAAUGUCUUUUCUGUGUUCUAAUCUCUAUGUUAAUGUCCUAGGAGUGACUCCUAGAUAUGCUGACUGCUGUUGUGUCUUAUUGUAUUUAAUUUUAUAGCCUGAUGAUGAUGGAAUAACUCCACUGAAAACAUUAGCAAAGAAUAAAACUGGUUAAUUUUUAAUUGCUAAAGAGAUUGCUGUUUUUUCCACAUUUAGUCAUAACAUUGUAAAGCAGUUCAGUAAUAGUAUUAUGGACAAUAAUUAAAAUUUGUUGAGAAAUGUUUUGAAAGUGGAUAAAUGAAUAUAAGUAUUUUUAUAUAUAAAGUGUUAAUAACAUAAAGUAUAAAAUAUUUUUAUGUUCAUUUUUUAAAUUAGUAAAAAUAAUAUAAGCAAAG